AACAUAGGACUUUGCACCUACAUUAAAGUAAGAAAACUUCUCUUUUUCGUUUGAAGCGAGCAAUAUUUUUGUUUUUAACGUGAAGAUUAUCGAGUGAUUAACGCAACAUCAAAGACCAUAACGUUACUUGGAUAUUAACGGACUUUCGCGGGAUUCUCGGCUGAGAUUCUCCGAUGCCAUUUGGAUUACAUACACUACGGAUUUUGCUGAUCGGACUUUAGUGAGCUUUCACAACUUUUUCGGACGUUUUGGGGAUAUUAUUGGACUUUGAAUAUUGCUGAACUUUGCUGCGUCAUGGUCCCGCCAUGUUUGCGUUUCCACACAGCAUCGCAAGAGGGCGAUCUCAUCUGCUUUCGUGAUGAACGCAAUGCGCGCUUUGAACACGAACAUUGAUUACUAUGGAAACAGAGGAAUUGAACGCGGCCUCUAAAAGAGUGCCGAAGAUGACUGUUAAAGCACAAGAGGAACGGCUUCAUCACUUGUUGGGAACUAGAAGAGCCAAGCUGGGACAUUUAACAAGGCAAAUGAGAGAAAUUGAAGCUUUGCUUGAGGACUCUGGUAAUGUUGACACUGUGUAUGAUUGUAUAAAUGGUGAGUUUGCACAGUCCUUUGCUGCAUUCCAAGACAUUAAUUAUGCAACCAGAGAAUUUAUGUCAGAUGAUGAGGCAUAUUUAGAUCAGUUACAUUGGUUCGAACCGAAGUCUCAAGCAGUUAAGCACUUUGUAGACAAGGUUAAAGACUGGGUUGAAAAAGUAAAACUCCAAUCCAAGGAGGCAGAGCAAUGUGAUGCAGAGGUUGAAUGUAAUGACAGUGCCUCAAUGGUUAUCUCUUCUUCACAACUGCCUCUCUUUCCAAAAAAAUCUCGUAGUCAGGUGGCUUCAGGUGUUUCAUCUACAGCUUCUUCUAGACUGAAAAUUGAAACUGAAAGGGCAGAGCUGUUGGCACGAGCUAAUGCGUUAUUACAGAAACAAGAGCUUGAGAGAGAGGAAACUGAGCUCAAAGCAAAGAGGGAAAAUUUAGAGCUCCAAACUGCUAUUGCUGCGGCUGAAGCCAAACUUCAGGUUUUGUCCAUGUAUGAACCAGCUCGUAGUGUUUCUGAUGCAUCUGGUAAUGCAGCUAGGGCUGCCACUAUUGCAGAAACCCUUAAAGCUACACCUAAUCAAGUAGUACGGCCAAAAACAUUUUCUCGUGAGCUAGCACCUGAUACUGAUGCAGUUCCAAGAGACAGUGAUGUGCAUCAUGAUUUUGCUAAAUCACAACCAACAAGGUCAGAUGUGAGAAUUCCUUCACAUGUUGAUACAGGAAGCUUGUUCAACAUAAUGCAACGUCAAAAUGACAUUGCUGAGAUUUUCAUGAAACAGCAGUCUUUAUCUACUCUUCCACCUAUGGAUAUUCCAGUGUUUAGUGGAGACCCGCUGGAUUUCACAUUCUUUAUUCGAGCCUUUGAACAUGGAGUAGAGAGUAAGACAACAAAUAACAAAGACAGAUUGUACUUCUUAGAACAGUUUACCAAGGGGCAACCAAAGGUUCUGGUACGCAGCUGUCAACACAUGCCUUCUGAAAGGGGCUACAAAGAGGCUAAAAGACUACUCUACCAACAUUUUGGUAAUGAGUACACAAUCGCCACUGCCUAUACAGAAAAGGCACUGAACUGGCCAGCUUUAAGGCCUGAGGAUAAUAAAGCCUUAAAUGAGUUUGCUCUUUUCCUUACUGGUUGUUGCAACACCAUUGACAGUGUGGAAUAUGUUGAGGAAAUGGACAGUCCAAGCAACAUGCGUGCAAUUGUAUCCAAGCUUCCUUUCAAACUGAGAGAAAAAUGGAGAGCAGUUGCCUGUGAGCUUCAAGAAAGGACUGGCUUGAGAGCAAGAUUCUGUGACUUGGUUAGUUUUGUAGACAAGCAGGCAAAGAUUGUUUCGCAUCCACUGUUUGGCAAUAUUCAGGAUAACACGAUGGCAAAAGACAAUCUCAAAUUCAAAACAAACAGAUCAAGUAACUUGCAAGUGAAAGAAAGGAAAACCACAUUUGCAACAAGUGUAACACCUGUUCCAGAACCCAAAAAACAAAGAACAAUGGAAAAAGAUCUAGCAAAAGCAAGCCAUGAAACCCUCUGCUUAUGCUGUAAUAAAAACCAUGGAUUGGACGUUUGCAGCAUUCUGAAGCAUAAGCCACACAAUGAAAAACUUGACUUUCUGAAAUCUAAAGGCUUGUGCUAUGGUUGUUUAUUACCAGGUCACAUGAGUAAAGGUUGUGUGCAAAGACUAACUUGUCAAAAAUGCUCAUUAAAGCAUCCGACCAUUCUUCAUCUCCCAGACAGGAAGCCAGUGCUUCCAAAAUCUCAAGAUGGAGACAGCUCCUUAACUGUCACUGACACUGUCAUCAGCGAAACUUGUGGCUGCACUGGGGCUGGUCAUUUGGUGUGCUCUUUAGCCAUAGUACCAGUUAGAGUUAAGUCCAAAAAAAGCAAUCAGGAAGUUUUGACUUACGCCUUCUUGGACCCAGGAAGUUCUGCGACAUUUUGUACAGAACAGCUAAUGAAGGAAUUAAAGCUAACUGGCAGGAAAACAAACAUCCUACUGCGUACUAUGGGACAGGAAAGGUCUGUUAGUACACAUGUUUGCACCGAACUGGAAAUAAGUGGACUGAACGAGAAUAAUUUUGUGGAUCUCCCUCAGGUGUUCUCUCAAAAAGAGAUUCCAGUUAAAGGAGAAAACAUUCCGCAACAGAAGGAUGUUCAGAAAUGGAAAUAUCUUGAAGAGGUGCAUCUUCCUCAGAUCGAUGCCGGUAUUGGCUUACUAAUCGGAACAAAUGUACCUAAGAUUCUUGAGCCAUGGAAGGUCAUCAACAGUAGAGGAGAUGGGCCUUAUGCUGUCAAGACCAUCCUUGGCUGGAUUGUAAAUGGACCUUUGGAGAGAGAGAACAUCCAAACUAACAGAAACACAGGAUGGACACAGGUGAUGGCAAACAGGAUUUCAGUGGUAACUUUGGAGAACCUAAUCCAACAGCAAAUGAGGUAUGAUUUUCCUGAAUGUGAACAAGCUGAAAAUUUGGAAAUGUCCAUUGAGGAUAGACAGUUUAUGAAGUCUGUAUCACAGUCCAUAAAGCUUGUAGAUGGGCAUUACUGCAUUGACCUUCCUUUGAAAAAAAAGGAUGUGAUGUUUCCCAACAACUAUGUUGUAGCUUCUCUCCGUUCACAAUUUCUAAAAAGAAAAUUCAAAAGAAAUUCAGCUUUCUACAUGGACUAUUGUAGUUUCAUGGAGGACAUGCUACUCAAAGGUCAUGCUGAGAAAAUCCCUGCAAGUGAAAUUGAAGGAACCCUUGGCAGAAUCUGGUACAUCCCACACCACGGGGUGUAUCACCCACAAAAACACAAACUUCGAGUGGUGUUUGACUGUGCAGCUACCUACCAAGGAAAAUCACUCAACUCGCAACUGUUGCAAGGACCCAACUUGAAUAAUUCUCUUAUUGGUGUUCUGGUGAGAUUCAGACAUAAGCCGAUUGCCCUUGCAGCAGACGUAGAAGGGAUGUUUCAUCAGGUCAGAGUUCCUGCUAAAGAUAAAGAUCUGUUAAGAUUCCUUUGGUGGCCUAAAGGGGACACUGCACAGGAAGUGGAGGAAUACAGAAUGAGUGUCCACUUAUUUGGUGCUACAUCCUCCCCAAGUUGUGCAAUCUACGCUUUGCAAAGGUGUGCAAAGGACAACAGUGCACAGCAUAGAUCAGAGGUAAUUCAGACAGUCCUUAGGAAUUUCUAUGUGGAUGAUUGUUUGUCGUCUGUGGCUACUGAACAGCAGGGUAUUGCUCUAAUGCAUGACUUAAGGGAGAUGUGUGCAUCAGGAGGAUUUAAUUUGACCAAGUGGAUGUCCAACAGUCGCACUGUACUUGCAUCCAUAAGUGAGGAGAGCAAAGCUAAGACAGUUAAGGAUUUGGACCUGGAGAAAGACAAGUUACCAUUGGAAAGAGCUCUAGGGGUUCAGUGGUGUGUUGAGACAGACACUUUGCAGUUCAAAGUAACCCUACAGGAAAAGCCUCUUACAAGGAGAGGUAUAUUGUCCAUGGUCAGCUCCAUUUAUGAUCCCCUUGGAAUACUUUCUCCAGUUAUUCUUCCUGCAAAGCAAAUACUGCAGGAGCUUUGUAGAACAAAACAUGACUGGGAUGACAAGAUUCCAGAAACUCUCAGACAUCAGUGGAAUCUGUGGCUGGCUAGUCUUCAGAACUUGAAUGACUUUCAGGUUGAAAGAUGCAUGAAGCCACUUAACUUUGGUGAAAUCACCUCAGCGCAGCUGCAUCAUUUUGCAGAUGCCAGUGAGCUGGGUUUUGGCACAGUGUCAUACUUGCUCAUGGAGAAUCACAGAGGUAACCAACAUUGUGCAUUUGUUAUGGGUAAAGCAAGGGUUGCUCCAGUAAAAACAGUUACCGUGCCACGUCUUGAGCUUACUGCAGCUACAAUGGCUGCUAGAAUGGACAAUAUGCUGAAAUCUGAAUUGGACUUGAUUCUUCAGGAGUCUG
ensembl:lncRNA